rnacentral:rRNA from 1 species
UACGAAGGGGGCUAGCGUUGCUCGGAAUUACUGGGCGUAAAGGGCGCGUAGGCGGGUCGUUAAGUCGGGGGUGAAAGCCCAGGGCUCAACCCUGGAAUUGCCUUCUAAACUGGCGACCUUGAGUAUGGCAGAGGUGUGUGGAACUCCGAGUGUAGAGGUGAAAUUCGUAGAUAUUCGGAAGAACACCAGUGGCGAAGGCGACACACUGGGCCAUUACUGACGCUGAGGCGCGAAAGCGUGGGGAGCAAACAGG